ensembl:lncRNA LINC01608 long intergenic non-protein coding RNA 1608
GAAUGUCAGCUCUGAAAUGUGCCUUCACAUCAAUAAUGGCAUCCAGCAUGAAAGCUUUUCUUUUUCUGCAUCCGCUGCUCUGUUAAGUGAUCACCACAUUCAUUGUUCUCGUUUCUAUUAUUUCUGAAAAAAAUCUUCAGGAUUCUGCUUGUGGGAGUGGAUGACAUUUUUACAGUGUUUACAGACACAAAAUGAACAAGAUGUCUGUGGCAACCCUCAGACCAUUGACGCCUUCUCUCCUAUGUAUCAAAUCACACAUUUGGACGUUGACUGAACCCUCACAUGUCAGAUGCUCAAUAUUGAGCUUUAUCUAUUCCAGAAUGUCAUAUAGCUGGUAUAAGAAAGAACACUAAUCAUUCCUAAGGAAGAAAAUUAACAACGCCGUGAGUUAUAAUAUCUGGCUGAAACUGAAGGAGCUCUGUGUAAUUAAAAGUCCUUUCUGCCCUGCCUGGCCAUGGUUCUGUAUGCAUUGAUGUCUUACAAACUGAAAAAAAAAAAAGUUAUUUUCUCAUCUCCAUUCCCUAGCAUAGACAUAUUACAUGAUGUGGAAUUGAAACAAGAAAAUUGCAUUUUAAUCUUCCACUCAGAACAUAGAAGAAUGAAACAAACAAACAAAAAAUACUCUGUUGUCUUAGUCUACCACAAGCAAAAUCUGGCAGUCUCUUUGCUUUGGUAAUGGCAUAAAUUCCUUGAUUAGCCUAUAGGAUAGCCCAUUGUUCUGCUCUUUUAGUGGAAUAGCUAGCAAUUGCUUUGUCAUUUUUUCCCCAUGGUUCCUACCAUUAGUGUUGGGAGGUUUCUUCUUUGUUUUUUUGAGAAAGAGGAAAAAGUUGUUAUAUUUUCAUAAAAACUUAAAUUUCAUCCAAAAUACUUGAUUUUCAUGAAGAAAGUAAAUAUCUCUGCCCCUAGUAUACAUGUGUGGAAACUUUCAGAACCCUGAAGAUAAAUACAUUUCAAACAAGUGAGUUUGAAAAUAUCAAUAGCAAAAUAGGAAGUAAGCUAAUUAGAGAGGUAAGAACUAGAUGGCUUAGCAUUCCAAUAAUAAUAUAUAACCUUCUUUAAGAGUAAAAUCUUGGUCAAAAGACAGAUGAAAACUCCAAUAAAAUUUCACAACUCAUGGAAAAGUCUAUCUUCGUAAUUCUUUAUGAAGCAAACUAUAUAUAUAUAAAACAUAUAUAUAUAUAUAUUUGAGACAGAGUUUCGCUCUUGUUGCCCAGGCUGGAGUGCAGUGGUGCGAUCUUGGCUCAUGGCAGCCUCUGUCUCCCGGGUUCAAGUGAUUCUCCUGACACAGCCUUGUAAGUGGUUGGGAUUACAGGUGUGUGCUAUCAUGCCCGGCUAAUUCUGUAUUUUGAGUAGAGACGGGGGUUUCUCCACGUUGGUCAGGGUGGUCUCGAACUCCCGACCUCAGGUGAUACCCUCGCCUCGACCUCUCAGAAUGCUGGGAUUAGAGGCUUGAGCCACCACGCCUAGCUGCAAACAUAUUUCUUAUAUUUUCCAACAUCACAAAAUUUUACUGAGCUAUGAUAUGUACUAAAAGCUGAUAAAGAUGGUGUUGUUAUAUUUAACAGUACUCUGAAUUUUGUUGCCAUUUCUAAAAUUGUAUUCAGAGGAAAUUAUGCCCAUGUUUCUAUAGAGAGAAUUUUAAAAAAUACAUGAGCAUAGAAAUUUGAGCAACAUUGAUUAAGGUUCCAUAAAAUUGAAGCAGGAAAUAGUAUAGAAUAUACUUUUGCUCACUCUAUUAAAAUAAGUCUCUCAUAAGUAUGCUUCAGUUAAGUUCGAAGGGUAGGAAAAUUAACCUGGAACGGGGCAUUCAGAUAUAAGUAAGUUUAUUUUGGAGAAAUUUCUAUGUCAGCUGAGAUUAUUUUCUAUAAAAACAGAAGAAAGAUGAAUAUCACUAAUGAUAGCACAAACCACUAAUUAGAAGGCAGUAUGUAGAAUUUUUCUGGAAAAAUAAAACUAUAAAUGACAAAUUAAUUUUAGCAGAAAUUGUAAGAAAAUGCAAUGAGGGUAAUAGGAAUGUUAUCUUUGAAUACAAUGGACAGCAAAUUGUAAACUGAAUGUAUUCACUAACACAAAAGAGAAAAUUACUUUUAAUGAUUGCCUAUUGUUUCUCUCUACAUAAAGUUUGAGUUUCAUGUCUGAUGACCUUAUGGCUUUUUAAAUAGACACUUCAUGUGACAUCAUUAAAU